rnacentral:rRNA from 1 species
CCUACGGGAGGCAGCAGUGGGGAAUAUUGCACAAUGGGGGAAACCCUGAUGCAGCGACGCCGCGUGAGUGAAGAAGUAAUUCGUUAUGUAAAGCUCUAUCAGCAGGGAAGAAAAUGACGGUACCUGAGUAAGAAGCCCCGGCUAACUACGUGCCAGCAGCCGCGGUAAUACGUAGGGGGCAAGCGUUAUCCGGAUUUACUGGGUGGAAAGGGAGCGUAGACGGCAGUGCAAGUCUGGAGUGAAAGGCGGGGGCUCAACCCCCGGACUGCUCUGGAAACUGGAAGGCUGGAGUGCAGGAGAGGUAAGUGGAAUUCCUAGUGUAGCGGUGAAAUGCGUAGAUAUUAGGAAGAACACCAGUGGCGAAGGCGGCUUACUGGACUGUAACUGACGUUGAGGCUCGAAAGCGUGGGGAGCAAACAGGAUUAGAUACCCCAGUAGUC